rnacentral:misc_RNA from 1 species
AACCAAUAAAAUCAAUCAUCUUCAGUUUUGAAAGACUUAGGCAACUAAGUUUUUUUUCGUGACUUCACGAAGGGCCUAUAGCUCAGUUGGUUAGAGCACACGCCUGAUAAGCGUGAGGUCGGUGGUUCAAGUCCAUUUAGGCCCACCAGAGUUAUAGGUUUCGUAAGAACACAAAUUCUUUGAAAAUU